CAAGAACUCCGGAGGAUAGUGGCGAACGGGUGAGAUAACACGCUGAGUAACCUCCCUUCCGGAGGGGGAUAACCACCCGAAAGGAUGGCUAAUACCCCAUAUGCUUUCCCCCCGNNNGGGGUGGAAAGGAAAGAAGGCUUUUCGCUUUCACCGGAAGAAGGGCUCGCGUCCCAUCAGCUGGUUGGUGGGGUAACGGCCUACCAAGGCGAUGACGGGUAGCUGGUCUGAGAGGAUGAUCAGCCACACUGGGACUGAGACACGGCCCAGACUCCUACGGGAGGCAGCAGUGAGGAAUUUUGGGCAAUGGGCGCAAGCCUGACCCAGCAACGCCGCGUGGAGGAAGAAGGCCUUCGGGUCGUAAACUCCUGUUCUGGGAGAAGAAACGGUGAAGGGUGAAUAACCCCUCACCCUGACGGUAUCCCAGGAGAAAGCUCCGGCUAAUUACGUGCCAGCAGCCGCGGUAAUACGUAAGGAGCGAGCGUUGUCCGGAUUCACUGGGCGUAAAGAGCUCGUAGGUGGUUCCUUAAGUCUCACGUGAA
rnacentral:rRNA from 1 species